GGACGAACGCUGGCGGCGUGCUUAACACAUGCAAGUCGAACGGAAAGGCCCUGCUUGCAGGGUACUCGAGUGGCGAACGGGUGAGUAACACGUGGGUGAUCUGCCUUGCACUUCGGGAUAAGCCUGGGAAACUGGGUCUAAUACCGGAUAGGACCAUGCUUUAGUGUGUGUGGUGGAAAGUUUUUCGGUGCAAGAUGAGCCCGCGGCCUAUCAGCUUGUUGGUGGGGUAAUGGCCUACCAAGGCGACGACGGGUAGCCGGCCUGAGAGGGUGUACGGCCACAUUGGGACUGAGACACGGCCCAGACUCCUACGGGAGGCAGCAGUGGGGAAUAUUGCACAAUGGGCGCAAGCCUGAUGCAGCGACGCCGCGUGGGGGAUGAAGGCCUUCGGGUUGUAAACUCCUUUCGCUAGGGAAGAAGCCACUUGUGGUGACGGUACCUGGAUAAGAAGCACCGGCUAACUACGU
rnacentral:rRNA from 3 species